UUGACCUCAUGACCUCCCUGUGUGGGGCGGCUCCCCCCGCUGUCCGGAGCUCCUGUCAGAGGGUUAAUGAGCGACGGCUGCUCGGGGCACGUCGGCCACUGGCUAAGUGACCGGACCGGAUGACCACCCUCUGCUCCGACUCUUACGGCUCCCUACGGCCACCCCUCGCCCUCCCUCCCCCUCCCAGAGUGAAGCUGGGGCUCGUGGGGCUUAAGCUCAGAUUUGACCCACAAUGCAACAGGCUUGUUUCCCCUGGCGUCAUGGCAGCGAGCAGGAGCCCAGCUGAAGGCGGCCCAUCCCAGUGUGGAAGUUUGUUAAAGUGAACAGGGAAACUGGAACCCACUGAAAACGAUUAAACUCUCUAAAAUGCUCUCUGCACCUGAUCUGAGUGUGUGCGUUCCCGGCAUCGAAGCCGAAUAAAGAAAAAUCAGAGCAUUGAUUCAAAAUGACAAAUAAAUAAACAAAAUGUAAAAGUUCCUAAAGAUCCUGUGGGUUAAUAUCUUUAUUAAGCUUUCUCGA